AGCAUUUUAGUUUGCNUUGCAAACUAAAGAUGGCGACCGGCGCACGGGUGAGUAACACGUAUCCAACCUGCCGAUAACUCGGGGAUAGCCUUUCGAAAGAAAGAUUAAUAUCCGAUAGUAUAUUAAAACCGCAUGGUUUUACUAUUAAAGAAUUUCGGUUAUCGAUGGGGAUGCGUUCCAUUAGUUUGUUGGCGGGGUAACGGCCCACCAAGACUACGAUGGAUAGGGGUUCUGAGAGGAAGGUCCCCCACAUUGGAACUGAGACACGGUCCAAACUCCUACGGGAGGCAGCAGUGAGGAAUAUUGGUCAAUGGACGAGAGUCUGAACCAGCCAAGUAGCGUGAAGGAUGACUGCCCUAUGGGUUGUAAACUUCUUUUAUAUGGGAAUAAAGUAUUCCACGUGUGGAAUUUUGUAUGUACCAUAUGAAUAAGGAUCGGCUAACUCCGUGCCAGCAGCCGCGGUAAUACGGAGCCGAGCGUUAUCCGGAUUUAUUGGGUUUAAAGGGAGCGUAGGUGGAUUGUUAAGUCAGUUGUGAAAGUUUGCGGCUCAACCGUAAAAUUGCAGUUGAAACUGGCAGUCUUGAGUACAGUAGAGGUGGGCGGAAUUCGUGGUGUAGCGGUGAAAUGCUUAGAUAUCACGAAGAACUCCGAUUGCGAAGGCAGCUCACUAGACUGCAACUGACACUGAUGCUCGAAAGUGUGGGUAUCAAACAGGAUUAGAUACCCUGGUAGUCCACACAGUAAACGAUGAAUACUCGCUGUUUGCGAUAUACAGUAAGCGGCCAAGCGAAAGCAUUAAGUAUUCCACCUGGGGAGUACGCCGGCAACGGUGAAACUCAAAGGAAUUGACGGGGGCCCGCACAAGCGGAGGAACAUGUGGUUUAAUUCGAUGAUACGCGAGGAACCUUACCCGGGCUUAAAUUGCAUUUGAAUAAUCUGGAAACAGGUUAGCCGCAAGGCAAAUGUGAAUUGGCUGCAUGGUUGUCGUCAGCUCGUGCCGUGAGGUGUCGGCUUAAGUGCCAUAACGAGCGCAACCCUUAUCUUUAGUUACUAACAGGUUAUGCUGAGGACUCUAGAGAGACUGCCGUCGUAAGAUGUGAGGAAGGUGGGGAUGACGUCAAAUCAGCACGGCCCUUACGUCCGGGGCUACACACGUGUUACAAUGGGGGGUACAGAAGGCAGCUACCUGGUGACAGGAUGCUAAUCCCAAAAACCUCUCUCAGUUCGGAUCGAAGUCUGCAACCCGACUUCGUGAAGCUGGAUUCGCUAGUAAUCGCGCAUCAGCCAUGGCGCGGUGAAUACGUUCCCGGGCCUUGUACACACCGCCCGUCAAGCCAUGAAAGCCGGGGGUACCUGAAGUACGUAACCGCAA
rnacentral:rRNA from 2 species